GUUUUCACUGGUCGUUCUGGUGUUGCUGCUUCCGGGCAUUUGUGAGAUUUCAGCUGUGGAAGUGCACCAGGAGCAAUCCUCAGUGACGGCUUUCUCUGGCAGUACGAUGUCCUUUGACUGCACUAUAGAGGCGAGGUUUAGCAUAAGCAGCUACACUAUGCUAUGGUACAAGCAAGCACAUUAUGGUGGACCUGUACAGUUCCUAAUGAUGGAGUAUGAGCAGGCCACAAAGAAGAUGAGUGUGGGCCUAGUCAAAGCCGAAAAUAAGUUCAGCUUGAAAAUAUCAGACCUGACACCGCAGGACAGUGGCAUUUAUUACUGCGCUGCCAGACACACCAGUCAAGCUUACUUCGGUGGAGGAACCAAGUUAACAGUUCUGGAUCCCAACGUGACCAUCACCAGCCCGACAAUAAACUUAAUGCCACCUUCUCAAAAAGAGCUCUGCAACGCAAAUAUAAAAGGGGACAAGGUAACUUUGGUGUGUUUAGCCAAAGAUUUCUAUCCUGAUCAUGUUAGUAUAAAUUGGAAUGUGAAUGGGAAAGAAAGAACCCAUGGUGUGGCGACAGACCAUGUGGCCCAACAGGAUCCCGACACAAGGCUCUACAGCAUGUCCAGCAGACUGAGGGUCAAUCUAACCGAGUGGACCAACAUCAAAAACAAAUUCACAUGCAUCAGUAAGUUUUAUGAUGGAAAGGAGUACGAGAAGAUCCACCAAACCAUCAGGUUUAUACCAGACAAAAUACCAGUGAGGACGUUUGUCACUGUACGAUUUGGCUACUUGAUGUUUCUUGGCAAAAGUUUGCUGUAUGCUGCGUUUAUCAGCAUCGUGGUGUGGAGAUGCAGGGCUACAAAAGAAAAGACACUGAUGACAGAAGAUGGAGACAUUAUGAUGAGCUAAAUAAUAUUUAGCAAAUCUGCUGAUAAACCAAACCCUCACAGAUUACAGAACUAUUAGCCAACACGCCGGGCUGUGGUGUACUGGGUGCACACUUCAAGGUUCAAAUUCCGUUUUGCAGCUUUAAUAGAAGUGAAUUUAGUGCAUUUGUGGUGUUUUUAUAGCUAAGGAUAAAAAUGAUGUGUAUUUGCUCUACAUAAAGUUCCUCUACGUGGCUGUACGACUGUAAUAUGUAAGCUUUCUGCUGUGUAUCUUAAGAUUUUACCUUUACUCAGAUCAUUUAAUUAAUUGGUUAGUUUACAAUAAACCAAGACCUUCAGCAUUAAUGGACCAAGUACACAAUAACAAACUAACAAAUGCUUUCAUUCAUUUAUUGAUGAACCAAAUAAGUCAAAUAUUUAACACCUAAAUUAGCUAAUGUUUAAGCACGGAUCAGCCAUGACAUUACGAUGUAGAACAUUAUGCCCAGUAUUGUGUAGGUACCCCUUGUGCCACCUGGACACCUCUGGGCCCCAUGAGCAGCCGGCUGUAGUGUGCUUGGUGUUCUGGUGCCUUUCUCUUGAGGUCAGUAUUGACUUUUCUGUGGGAUCAGACCGACAGACCAACAUGUGAGAGUUUUUGGUGCCCGUGACCCUGUCACCAGUUUAUGAGUAUAAUUAAUAGUGUUAAUGUUAUGGCUGAUAGGUGUAAAUUCAACAUAAAUUCCUACUGUAAGACAUACAGCAAAUUCUAUGUAACAUUAAAUCAACAGUGUGGAAUAAAAACACCUUACUUUAUAUGUUGGAGUUAAUAUUUAGCCUAAAAGUUAGGAGCUGUACGCCGCAGUUCUCCAGAAUUUAAAUGUUUUAAUUAGUCUCCAUUUAGAAACUGUAAUAUCAUGUUUUAUCCAUUUAUAUUGCUGUAUUAUCAGUCAUUGUUAUUAAACAUGUAUUACUGCUGGUGUAUUUAGUUAAUAUUUAACAAAUUAUUAAUACAUAUGUUAACUAACUUUUUUACUUUUAUAAUCAUUUUAGUUUAUUAAUAUCAGCUCAUGCAGUGAGUAACAUUAGUAAAGGGAACCUUAAUGUAAAUAGUUACAGAAAUAUUUCCUAUAAUAAAGCUAAAUGGCGCAAACCACUUUGUUUCUUGUGCAUUUUAAUGAACUAUAUACUGUAAAUGAAUGUUUUUAUGAAAAUAAAUGACUUCUCAGAAACAGCAUUUCUACUAAACAUGGUGUAACUACAGUGGAAAGUCUCCAGAUUUGCAUGUGUAGGUGUUCCAUGGCUCAUAUCUGAAUUUUCCAGUUUAGAAUAAAGAUUAUUGAAGCUUAAGGAUUGUUUUUUUUUUUUUUUUAGAUGAACAGUAUGUUGAGUGACUAAUGGAAAUGUAGUUCAUAUGUAAAUUAGAUGUUUAAUUCCAGCUAAUUAUAUAGCGAAGCGCGUAUUGUUCAAUACCAAUAAAAUAAAUCACCACUGAAGACAGAACAAUAUGUUUGUACAUGCAUUGUUAUUUUUAUUCACUUAUCGAAAAGUUAUCAACCCCUACGCAGGGUUUCUGUGUUGAAGUGUGUGUGAGUGAGGGCUGAGGGCAGGAUGUGGUAGCUGCUUGCUGAGAGCGAUGUGAAGAUGGAGGGGCAGACAGAUGAGAGGAUGUGGUGAGAGCGUCUCAGAAUGAAGCUUUUGUUCCACCAGCUUCUUCACCACAGAGCUGCUUUAUGCGAACACCUGCUGCUGCAAGCGAAGCCUCAGCGCUCACGGGCCUCUGCAAAGUAGUGCGGAAACUGGUGCAGAGCAUUUUCAUCCUGUGCAAUGUGUGUACAGCACUUCGACUUCGCUCACUGGUUGUAUCACACGUGUCAUCACAGGAGAUGUUUGGUCUACAUAGAUGGAAACGCAAGACAAACCAUUUU